GUGAGUAACACGUGGAUAACCUACCUAUAAGACUGGGAUAACUUCGGGAAACCGGAGCUAAUACCGGAUAAUAUAUUGAACCGCAUGGUUCAAUAGUGAAAGACGGUUUUGCUGUCACUUAUAGAUGGAUCCGCGCCGCAUUAGCUAGUUGGUAAGGUAACGGCUUACCAAGGCAACGAUGCGUAGCCGACCUGAGAGGGUGAUCGGCCACACUGGAACUGAGACACGGUCCAGACUCCUACGGGAGGCAGCAGUAGGGAAUCUUCCGCAAUGGGCGAAAGCCUGACGGAGCAACGCCGCGUGAGUGAUGAAGGUCUUCGGAUCGUAAAACUCUGUUAUUAGGGAAGAACAAAUGUGUAAGUAACUAUGCACGUCUUGACGGUACCUAAUCAGAAAGCCACGGCUAACUACGUGCCAGCAGCCGCGGUAAUACGUAGGUGGCAAGCGUUAUCCGGAAUUAUUGGGCGUAAAGCGCGCGUAGGCGG
rnacentral:rRNA from 1 species